rnacentral:lncRNA from 1 species
AUGAAAAUAGCUCAAAUCAAAUAAUUAAAAAUCUGUAAUGUACAGCUGAAAGCAAACUUCAUAAAGACAAAUCACAAGGCGCAUCAAAAAUCAAUAUUCAACCAGUUAGUAGUACACACAAGUACUAGGAGAUAUAAUUCCAUCGGGAGUACACAGACUAAUCCGAGGACAAGCACCGCAUGGAAUUGAAGCAAAUGCGCCCACUUUCGAACCCUUAGCUACAAGAGCACCGCUAUCAAAUCGGUAACAACUUGUUCCAAUAGGAAUGGAAUAAUACUCCCCCAGGCCAGUGCUCUUCACCUCGAUUAUUUCAUUGUCUAAAACCAUUGAGUUCAGUAUCUCAGAAACUUGCUGGAUAGAGAUUUCGAACAUCACCACUCGUUGCUUCUUCAAAUCCUCAUGAACUCUCUCGAUAGUAGCAACCUUUUGAACACGUAUACACCGUAAGCACAACUGUUUCAAUACAUUAAUGAGUUCUUUGUCGAGAUUUCCAUCAACAUACCAUACACCUCCGCUAAUUUCCUUUGAGGGUUCGAACUCGACUGCCAUGUAGUGUUUUUUCCCUUUGUACUGGAUAUUUACGACCUCUUUUAUCAAUUUCCUAGUCAACAAUGAGAACAUCCAUAAAAACAUUUCUUUAGUGGAAAUUAAGGAAAACUUUAAAUCAGUUUUUGUAUCAGAGAAAAAAUUAGAAUUCCGACCUAUGUUACUUUUCUUUAAUUAUUUGAGAAUAUUUGCUGGAGAGGCCACAUCCAGAGUGGGAACGUGAAACAUGGCCAGUCUUAAUGAUUUUUUUACGAAUAACCCAUUGAAUUCAAUAAAAUCCAUCUACCUUUUAAAAGUCGACCAUUGGGUCUAUUUGGCCAAUUGGAAUGCUCCUUUUCAAUAAAAAUAGUGAAAACAGACUAUGAACAUUUUUAUUAAGCUUAAAGUAGAGAUAAAGAUACAGGGCCUCCUAAACCAGAAAAGAAAAAAUAUAUAUAUAUAAUUAUUUUUUACUUUAACCAUUAAAGGCUAAUCUGGAAAAUUUGCACCAUUGAUUAUUAGUUUGUCCAAACCUACUCUACACAAAAAUGAACAUCAAAUCAUGGAUUAAAGCCAUAUUAUUUAGACCGAAUGGAACAUUGGCCAUACUCAUUUUAUGAGUCUAGCACUUAGCGGUCUUGAUGUUAAUCAAUUGAAAGUUAUGAACUAAACAAUACAAAAAUGGGUAAUGCUAUUUAACCUCAUUAGAGUUACUACUCUAUUCUAGAUGGCGUUAUUAUGGCAUUAAAUGAUAGGUCAAACAUUUAAUUUCACCUUUUAUUCAACCUAUUAUCUAACGCUAAACUGAAAUUAUAAUCACAGUAAAACUACAUAACAUUAUUUUUCAAAAGGGUAUUAUAAUAUGUCAUCACAAUAUUGAAUGCACGUUGUAAAGAAUUUUAGAACUCAAAAAAGUCCCGAAUAUGAUGAGCCAUCAAAUUUCAUGCAACCGAUCAACACCCUCCAAUGCACCCUAAUGUAGUAUGGUUGGACCGAUUUAAAUUUAGCCCCGUUUGGACUCCAUUCUUGCCAAAUUCUAAUGGUUACAAUAGUUUUUUUUUUUUUUUUUUUUUAAAUGUGUGGUUAAAAAGGAAAAAAAUGGGGAGAAGAAUGGGGGCCAAACGGGUAAUGUUCCAGUCUCGUGUAAAUGAAAAUGAGAAAUUUUUUAACACGAGAAUACUGAUACACCAAAUGAAAAUAGCUCAAAUCAAAUAAUUAAAAAUCUGUAAUGUACAGCCGAGAGCAAACUUCAUAAAGACAAAUCACAAGGCGCAUCAAAAAUCAAUAUUCAACCAUUUAGUGUAGUACACACAAGUACUAGGAGAUAUAAUUCCAUCGGGAGUACACAGACUAAUCCGAGGACAAGCACCGCAUGGAAUUGAAGCAAAUGCGCCCACUUUCGAACCCUUGGCUACA